AGGUGACGAUCUUUAGGGGCGGAACCAAAAUUCGGGAAGUUUGGUUCCGCCCGGAAGUGUUUCCGCCCGGACCGGAAAAACAGAACACCGGAACUUCCGGUAGCGCCGUAAGAGGGAAAAUCAGGGAAUUCGAUGCACCUGUGCCUAGUUAGGGACAGCGGUUGGUGAUUGGAGGAUACGCUGGACAAGGCAGUACUUAAGUUCAAGUUAUUUCACAGUCUGGGAGCUCUUUCUGGUGUGUGUGAAGCACUGUGUCGUGCCCGUCUUGGUGCGCUGCUGGUGGCUGUCUAACUCUCUCUCCCUCAGGCUGGAAUUGUAUGAUUGUGAAGACAUCGCGAACCUUAAAGGUUGAGAAGUGAAUGGAUUAUACGGCGAAUUGAGACGACGUGAAAAAGGGGAUUGGAAGCGGCAUUGAUAGUUCAGCCUGGGGUCGUCACAUGUGAUUGCCACAAGCCCCCGGCCACUACUUUGUCGAAUCUGCCGGCCGCACCGUUCUCAAGCCUGCCAUGUGUGACAGAAGGACAGUCUGGUGCUUCUGACUCACAGCCUGUUGGUGAGCUGAUCUUCUCUCCUCAUAUUUCCUCGUCCAUGCUGAAUUCUGAGUAGGAGGGCUAUCCAUCUGCCUGCAGACCACACAAGAUGGCUCAUAAACGAAUGCAGACUGGAAACUGUGAGUUUCCUUAACAGGAAGCUCAGAGAUUAUCGAUCCCACAAUUGAUUUCCAACCAGAAGAUGGAGCAUAUAUAGGAAAUGCAUUUGGUUGUCUGCUUGAGAAGUUCAGUGUUGUGUGUAGGUGAUAUCUCUUGGAGCAUUGGAAGAAUGCCCAAAUAUGCCAGUUAUCUAUAGAGCAAUGCAUGCUAGAGUUCAACUUUAUGGUUGCACAUAUUUUUCAGCUAAGCAAAGCUAGGAUCAUGUCAAGUUUGUGUGUCAGAAGUUCAUCAUUUAGCAUAUGAGUCAGAGACUCACACUUACUCCAAACAUAGUUCCCUUAUAGUAAACUGAGUUUAAGUGCCUUGGGCAGAAAGAUGAUGAGAGACUCUUGGUCCAUUGAACUUCUACAAUCAGACUCUCUCUCUUUCUCUCUUUUUUUUGGCAACACUUUAUAUAACUUGCAUUAAUCAGUCUUUUAACAAAAACAAAUUUUAUACAACAGUAACUUCUGGUCCUUGAAUUUGAUUGAGCACCUUUCCAUGAGUGCUGAUAACAGGCCAAAUGUAACUCUUCCAAAUUUGCUUGUCCUUGUGCAUUCCAGAUAGACUGUGUCUCUGAAAGAACACUUAGUUUCAAUGCAAAUGAAUAGUCUUUUUUACAUAUCCACCCUAUUUUUAACAUGAGAGUGGACUUAUGUUAGUUCACGAGUAUGUGUGUGGCUUCUGACAUUCUUGUCCUGUUAUAUUAUGUGUACAAAAACAUUCUGUUAUGUUGCUUAAUAUUGCAUAUUGCUUAAUAUCAAUAAAAACGCAUUUCUAAUAUUA